ACUAGAAAACCCAACAGUUAAUUAAUUGUUUGCAAACUCAUUAUAUAUUUUUUUCCUAGCAUUUGCUUUGUUAUUUUACUAAAAACUAUGUAUGAUGUUGUUUUUUUUUCUUUAUUUGAAAAUUUCCUCCCUUUUGUAUUGUUGGUACUUUUUUCUCUGGGUGUGGUAAAAAUUUAAUUUUGAAAUAUUCUUAGCUUUUUAUUUCAAGUUUUUUUUUUUUUGGAAGUUUACAGCUUUUGUGUUUUGCAAUCUCCAAGUUUUGAUUUUUAUUUGAUAAUAAUGUAUUACAGAUUAAACUUUGUGUUGUAUUGGUACUUUCUUUAGUGGGUGUGGCAAAAAAAUUGAUUUUUGAAUAUUAUUAUCGUUGUAUUUCAAGUUUUUUUGGACGUUGAAACUCUUUGCCUUGCUGUGCACUCUUCAAGUUUUGAUUUUUAUUUGAUUAUAAUGUAUUGGAAUCUAUUGUUAUUUGGUCAUUGUUAUUUUACUAGUUUUGUGUGGGUUUACAUCGAAUAUUUAAUAGGUUUGAAUAAUAUUUUUGAAAUUAUUGAUGAACACUAUAUAUAUUGAUAUAUGUUUUGUUUUAUUUUUCUUCUCUAUUAACACAGGUUAAAAAUGAGUAGCCAUGCUCUUGUAGUAGCUGAUAUAAGUACUCCUACCCCUGUAGUAGCUACUCUAAGUCCUAGUAGAAGGAAGAAGCAGCUUGCUAGAAUAUCUUGUUGUCCUCCUCAAACAUGGAAUCUAAAUGAUAAGGAUGUUGAAAAUAAAGAAGAAAAUAAAAAUGAGUCUCUUGAUGCAGCAACUGCCCCAAAUAUUGCAGCCACAAAUAUUUAUGAAUCUACAACCUCAUCUCAACUAAUUGAGUAUCAUACUCCAAUGUUCAAUGACCCUACAGGCCCAGGUUCUAGCUACAUGCAUACAAUUUGUUCUGCGAGUAUAUCACAUGAAGAACUAUCAUCACCCACUAAUGAUAGUGAUUUAGAAUGGAAACAAGGAAAACACUAUAGUGAAGAAGAUGAUAGUACUGAGUAUGAAAUGGUAUCACUGACAAAUAGUGAUGAGGAUGCUCAUGGAGACUAUUAUGAUAGUGAUGAAGGUAGACAUAUGAACUUGAAGAGGAUAAAAAGAGAGGGAGUGGAUCCAAACUGUAACAUUCCAUUUCCCCAUUCUGAUCAAAUUUAUCAAGAUGGUAAAAUAGUGCUUAGACUAUUCUUGAGAUUCCAAGACUAUCGCCACUUUGCUGAUAUUCUAAAAGAUUAUGCGAUUCAAGAAGGUUUUGAAUUGAAAAAAAUUAAGCAUGAAAAGAGUAGGCUCACAUAUGGUUGUAGAGCAAUUGGCUGCCCAUGAAGGAUACAUGCCUCUGUCUUGCCUGAUCUGAGUAACUUUGUUAUCAAGACUCUUACUGAAGACCAUACAUGUCAAUGUGUAACUAGAAAUAGAACAGCUAACAGUACUUGGAUUGGUAAGAAAUUAGUGAAGACAUUACAAAGGCAUCCAGAAAUGAAAGUAAAGGGCAUCAAAGCUCAGUUGAGGGAUGACUAUGGGAUAGAUGUUGAUAAUAGAAGGCUAUGGAGAGGUAGGAGAUAUGCAAGAGGAUAAGUUCAUGGUCGGCAUGCCCAAUCUUAUGGGAAACUUAGAAAAUAUGCAGCAAUGAUUUUGCACACAAAUCCUGGAAGUGCUGCAAUCAUACAAUCUGAGUUAGCACAUGAAAAAAUUUACAACGAUGAAGGUGAUUUAGUGCAAUCUGUUCCCCCAGUAAUGAAACCUCGGUAUAAGAGGAUGUUUGUGUGCUAUGAAGGUGUGAAAUCUGGUUUUCUAGCUGGUUGCAGACCCUUCUUUGGUCUUGAUGGUUGCCAUCUUAAAAGCCCUUACAAGGGUAUUUUAUUGGCUGCUGUUGGACUAGAUGCAAACCUCCACUUCUACCCGAUUUCCUACGCCAUGGUUGAGGCUGAGAACAAUGACAGUUGGAAAUGGUUUAUUCAACACUUAAUGGAGAAAAUUGGAGAGCGACAUCCCAAUGGUCAGCCUUGGUGCAUAAUGAGUGACAGGCAAAAGGGUUUAAUUGAGGUUGUGACUCAUAUACCUGAUAGUCACCAUCGCUAUUGUUGUUUCCACAUUGAAAGAAACAUGACAAAAGAAUUUGGCACUUCUGAGCUUAAAAACAUGUUUUGGGCAGUAGCUGAGACGGGAAAUGUUCAUACGUUUCAGCAAAUUAUGGACCAAAUCAAGGAAUUUAAUAAAAAUGCAUACAACUGGUUGACUAACAUUGAUGCAAAACAUUGGUCAAUGAGUUGUUUUGACACGUCUUCAAAGGUAGAGCAUCUAACAAAUAACCAUGUUGAAUCAUUCAAUGAUUGGAUUGAUGAGGUACGUUUCAAGCCACCAAUCGAGUAACUAGAAGGUCUUCGAAUCCAAAACACAGAAAUGAUGUACUCAAGAAAGGUCAUAUCUGAAAGAUGGAAUGAAAAACUAACACCAAGAGUACAGCUGAAGGUUAAACAAAUAUUAAGGAGAGCACGGCAUGCUGAAGUCAGACGAGUAGGAAAUAAUGAAUUCCAGGUUGACUAUAAGGGGAAAAGGUGCUCGGUCAUACUAGAUCAAAGAUGGUGUAUAUGUGGCCAAUGGCAGAUUCGAGGCAUUCCUUGUGUUCAUGCAGCUGCAUGUAUCAAUGUCACUAGGGCCAACAUUAAUGACUCUUGUUCUGAAUACUUCACAACUGAAAUGUGGAGAAAGACUUACGAACCAAUGAUACAUCCAAUACCUGAUGAAUCUAUGUGGAUUAGAAAUGAUUAUGAUUAUGAGCCUUUGUUGCCCCCAAUAAUUAAAAACCAACCAGGUAGGCCAAAAAAAUACCGCAGAAAGAGAGUGGCUGGAGAAGAAAGGGUUGUGAAGCCAGUUUCUAGUACAAAGAGGUGCAAAAAAUGUAACCAACUUGGUCAUAACAGUUGUUCAUGCAGCAUGACACCGCUCAUGAAAGAGCCAACAACUCCAACUUCACCUACAAGACGAGGCAACAGAAGAGGAAGUGAACAAGGCAAGGGACUAAGCAAGGAUCAAGCUACAACUUUUGAUGCACCACCAAUGACAAGUUCUGAACCGGUUAACAAAAAGAGAGGCAGGGGGGAGACCACGUGGUAGAGGUCAUGGAAGAAUACAUUAUACAACAAAUCAGGUAAUCUUUUUUAAAAUCUACGUCAAUGUUUAUAAAAUAUACAAGAUGAGUGUUUUUAAUUAAUUUCUUAUUUUAGGAAAAUUAUCAACCUCAAGAAAGUAUUGAAGAACAUACUUUAAAGAAUGCAGAGGAGCUUAAUAUACAUGGAG